rnacentral:rRNA from 1 species
AACGAACGCUGGCGGCAUGCCUAACACAUGCAAGUCGAACGAGACCUUCGGGCCUAGUGGCACACGGGUGCGUAACGCGUGGGAACCUGCCCUUAGGUUCGGAAUAACUCCCCGAAAGGGGUGCUAAUACCGGAUAAUGUCUUCGGACCAAAGAUUUAUCGCCUUUGGAUGGGCCCGCGUUGGAUUAGCUGGUUGGUAGGGUAAAAGCCUACCAAGGCGGCGAUCCCUAGCUGGUCUGAGAGGAUGGUCAGCAACACUGGGAGUGAGACACGGCCCGGAUUCCUGCGGAAGGGAGCAGUGGUGAAUAAUGGACGCUGGGCGAAAGCCUGAGCCAUCCAGGCCGCGUGAGUGAUGAAGGCCUUAGGGUUGUAAAGCUCUUUUACCCGGGAUGAUAAUGACAGUCCCGGGAGAAUAAGCUCCGGCUAACUCCGU